CGUCUCCAUGACGACCUGUGGUACAAUGACCAAGGGGAGCUGAAUGAUGGGCCAUUAUGUAAGUGUAGUCUGAAGUCUCAAAAAUCAGGAAUUAGACACAGCAAGUAUCCUGGCGAAAAGGCAAUUCCUCGCUGUGACCCCCACAGUUAUAACAGUGAUAAACUCUUCCAUCACAAAAUCACCAUGUCCCCGCCCACUAACUUCCUGGUGAGUAUAUUGAGUAUCUGAAUUAAUAACUUGUCUUUAUUUUUCUCAAAAAUUGUCAAUGCCCAAUAUUUAUUUUUGAAAUGAAAGCAGAAUAAAAACGCUUUUUGAAAUGAUUUCACAUUAAUUGAAAUGAUUUCAUGUGUUAAUCUUUGGACUGCA